GUUCUCACUUCAGCAGCACACAUACUCAAAUUGGAACAAUAAAGAGAAGAUUAGCAUGGCCCCUGCUCAAGGAUGACACAUAAAUUCGUGAAGAGUUCCAUAUUUUU